AUUGGCUUAAUCUCUCAUUUCCCUUCUGUCCUGUUUCAGAACUCAUUCUUCUUCCCUGUCCUCUUGUUCAUUCUGUUAAUAUGUCUGUCAACCUCGCGCGCCCUAGGUAACAGGCUGUCCAUACACUACUGAAGCAUGCGUGUAUGAGUUUCAAUGUCCUAAAAUUACUUGAAAGGCUAGCACUGACUUUCCAUCAGUCUUCCAAAAACUCGGUAACAGAG